GAGAGUUUGAUCCUGGCUCAGGACGAACGCUGGCGGCGCGCCUAACACAUGCAAGUCGAACGAGCGAGAGAGAGCUUGCUUUCUCGAGCGAGUGGCGAACGGGUGAGUAACGCGUGAGGAACCUGCCUCAAAGAGGGGGACAACAGUUGGAAACGACUGCUAAUACCGCAUAAGCCCACGACCCGGCAUCGGGUUGAGGGAAAAGGAGCAAUCCGCUUUGAGAUGGCCUCGCGUCCGAUUAGCUAGUUGGUGAGGUAACGGCCCACCAAGGCAACGAUCGGUAGCCGGACUGAGAGGUUGAACGGCCACAUUGGGACUGAGACACGGCCCAGACUCCUACGGGAGGCAGCAGUGGGGAAUAUUGCACAAUGGGGGAAACCCUGAUGCAGCGACGCCGCGUGGAGGAAGAAGGUCUUCGGAUUGUAAACUCCUGUUGUUGAGGAAGAUAAUGACGGUACUCAACAAGGAAGUGACGGCUAACUACGUGCCAGCAGCCGCGGUAAAACGUAGGUCACAAGCGUUGUCCGGAAUUACUGGGUGUAAAGGGAGCGCAGGCGGGAAGACAAGUUGGAAGUGAAAUCCAUGGGCUCAACCCAUGAACUGCUUUCAAAACUGUUUUUCUUGAGUAGUGCAGAGGUAGGCGGAAUUCCCGGUGUAGCGGUGGAAUGCGUAGAUAUCGGGAGGAACACCAGUGGCGAAGGCGGCCUACUGGGCACCAACUGACGCUGAGGCUCGAAAGUGUGGGUAGCAAACAGGAUUAGAUACCCUGGUAGUCCACACCGUAAACGAUGAUUACUAGGUGUUGGAGGAUUGACCCCUUCAGUGCCGCAGUUAACACAAUAAGUAAUCCACCUGGGGAGUACGACCGCAAGGUUGAAACUCAAAGGAAUUGACGGGGGCCCGCACAAGCAGUGGAGUAUGUGGUUUAAUUCGACGCAACGCGAAGAACCUUACCAAGUCUUGACAUCCCUUGACGAUGCUGGAAACAGCAUUUCUCUUCGGAGCAAGGAGACAGGUGGUGCAUGGUUGUCGUCAGCUCGUGUCGUGAGAUGUUGGGUUAAGUCCCGCAACGAGCGCAACCCUUAUGGUCAGUUACUACGCAAGAGGACUCUGGCCAGACUGCCGUUGACAAAACGGAGGAAG
rnacentral:rRNA from 1 species